CGAAACUCGGUUGCUUUUAACUUGUCUAAUAUAUACACAGUCCAUCGUUGGUAAUCGGGGAGAGAACAAAAUCGGCUUCGUUAAUCUAAAAGCUCUAGAGAGUUCUCAGGCUUGACGAUCUGUAACCAUGGCGGCAGAGCAGAAGGCGACGACUGAAGAAGUAAAGAUGGAUCUGUUCGAGGACGACGAUGAGUUCGAGGAGUUUGAAAUUAACGAAGAUUGGGUUGAGAAAGAGGAAGUGAAGGAAGUUGGUCAGCAGUGGGAAGAUGACUGGGACGAUGAUGAUGUUAAUGACGACUUCUCGCUUCAGUUGAGGAAGGAACUUGAGUCUGAUAAGAAAUGAAUGAGCAGCUCUCAAGAUUAAGAUUGUUAUUUGAAUUGCAUCCUUUGUUUUUAUUGUUGCUUCUACUUUACCUCUUUGCACAUUUUUACUCUUGGAUGCGAAUUCCCUAUAGAUGUUUUGUGUUUUACGUGGCAUCGUUAUGGAUUCUCGGUUUUACUCUUUCCAUUACUGACAUGACAUUUUGGUUU